AUACGUAGGUGGCAAGCGUUGUCCGGAAUUAUUGGGCGUAAAGCGCAUGUAGGCGGUGCCUUAAGUCUGUCGUGAAACUGCGGGGCCUAACCCCGUAUGGCGAUGGAAACUGUGGCACUUGAGUGCAGGAGAGGAAAGGGGAACUCCCAGUGUAGCGGUGAAAUGCGUAGAUAUUGGGAAGAACACCGGUGGCGAAGGCGCCUUUCUGGAUGGUGUCUGACGCUGAGAUGCGAAAGCCAGGGUAGCGAACGGGAUUAGAUACCCCGGUAGUCCUGGCCGUAAACGAUGGGUACUAGGUGUGGGAGGUAUCGACCCCUUCCGUGCCGGAGUUAACGCAAUAAGUACCCCGCCUGGGGAGUACGGCCGCAAGGCUUAAACUCAAAUGAAUUGACUGGG
rnacentral:rRNA from 1 species